rnacentral:rRNA from 1 species
AUGAACGCUAGCUACAGGCUUAACACAUGCAAGUCGAGGGGCAGCAUGGUCUUAGCUUGCUAAGGCUGAUGGCGACCGGCGCACGGGUGAGUAACACGUAUCCAACCUGCCGUCUACUCUUGGCCAGCCUUCUGAAAGGAAGAUUAAUCCAGGAUGGGAUCAUGAGUUCACAUGUCCGCAUGAUUAAAGGUAUUUUCCGGUAGACGAUGGGGAUGCGUUCCAUUAGAUAGUAGGCGGGGUAACGGCCCACCUAGUCAACGAUGGAUAGGGGUUCUGAGAGGAAGGUCCCCCACAUUGGAACUGAGACACGGUCCAAACUCCUACGGGAGGCAGCAGUGAGGAAUAUUGGUCAAUGGGCGAUGGCCUGAACCAGCCAAGUAGCGUGAAGGAUGACUGCCCUAUGGGUUGUAAACUUCUUUUAUAAAGGAAUAAAGUCGGGUAUGCAUACCCGUUUGCAUGUACUUUAUGAAUAAGGAUCGGCUAACUCCGUGCCAGCAGCCGCGGUAAUACGGAGGAUCCGAGCGUUAUCCGGAUUUAUUGGGUUUAAAGGGAGCGUAGAUGGAUGUUUAAGUCAGUUGUGAAAGUUUGCGGCUCAACCGUAAAAUUGCAGUUGAUACUGGAUGUCUUGAGUGCAGUUGAGGCAGGCGGAAUUCGUGGUGUAGCGGUGAAAUGCUUAGAUAUCACGAAGAACUCCGAUUGCGAAGGCAGCCUGCUAAGCUGCAACUGACAUUGAGGCUCGAAAGUGUGGGUAUCAAACAGGAUUAGAUACCCUGGUAGUCCACACGGUAAACGAUGAAUACUCGCUGUUUGCGAUAUACGGCAAGCGGCCAAGCGAAAGCGUUAAGUAUUCCACCUGGGGAGUACGCCGGCAACGGUGAAACUCAAAGGAAUUGACGGGGGCCCGCACAAGCGGUGGAGCAUGUGGUUUAAUUCGAAGCAACGCGAAGAACCUUACCAGGUCUUGACAUCCUUCUGACCGGCCUAGAGAUAGGCUUUCUCUUCGGAGCAGAAGUGACAGGUGGUGCAUGGUUGUCGUCAGCUCGUGUCGUGAGAUGUUGGGUUAAGUCCCGCAACGAGCGCAACCCCUAUUGUUAGUUGCCAUCAUUAAGUUGGGCACUCUAGCGAGACUGCCGGUAAUAAACCGGAGGAAGGUGGGGAUGACGUCAAAUCAGCACGGCCCUUACGUCCGGGGCUACACACGUGUUACAAUGGGGGGUACAGAGGGCCGCUACCACGCGAGUGGAUGCCAAUCCCUAAAACCCCUCUCAGUUCGGACUGGAGUCUGCAACCCGACUCCACGAAGCUGGAUUCGCUAGUAAUCGCGCAUCAGCCACGGCGCGGUGAAUACGUUCCCGGGCCUUGUACACACCGCCCGUCAAGCCAUGGGAGCCGGGGGUACCUGAAGUGCGUAACCGCGAGGAUCGCCCUAGGGUAAAACUGGUGACUGGGGCU